CCUACGGGAGGCAGCAGUGGGGAAUAUUGCACAAUGGGCGCAAGCCUGAUGCAGCAACGCCGCGUGCGGGAUGACGGCCUUCGGGUUGUAAACCGCUUUCAGUUUCGACGAAGCGCAAGUGACGGUAGGAACAGAAGAAGGACCGGCCAACUACGUGCCAGCAGCCGCGGUGAUACGUAGGGUCCGAGCGUUGUCCGGAAUUAUUGGGCGUAAAGGGCUUGUAGGCGGUCUGUUGCGUCGGAAGUGAAAACUCAGGGCUUAACCCUGAGCCUGCUUCCGAUACGGGCAGACUAGAGGAAUGCAGGGGAGAAUGGAAUUCCUGGUGGAGCGGUGGAAUGCGCAGAUAUCAGGAGGAACACCGGUGGCGAAGGCGGGUCUCUGGGCCGAUACUGACGCUGAGGAGCGAAAGCGUGGGGAGCGAACAGGAUUAGAUACCCGGGUAGUCCACGCUGUAAACGUUGGGCGCUAGGUGUGGGGGCCUCUCCAGGCCUCCGUGCCGCAGCUAACGCAUUAAGCGCCCCGCCUGGGGAGUACGGCCGCAAGGCUAAAACUCAAAGGAAUUGACGGGGGCCCGCACAAGCGGCGGAGCAUGCGGAUUAAUUCGAUGCAACGCGAAGAACCUUACCUGGGUUUGACAUGUACACCACAGCUCCAGAGAUGGGGUCUCCUUCGGGGGUGUUCACAGGUGGUGCAUGGCUGUCGUCAGCUCGUGUCGUGAGAUGUUGGGUUAAGUCCCGCAACGAGCGCAACCCUCGUUCCAUGUUGCCAGCACGUUAUGGUGGGGACUCAUGGGAGACUGCCGGGGUCAACUCGGAGGAAAGGUGGGGGAUGACGUCAAGUCAUCAUGCCCCUUAUGUCCAGGGCUUCACGCAUGCUACAUGGCGGUACAAUGGGUUGCGAUACCGUGAGGUGGAGCGAAUCCCAAAAGCGUCUCAGUUCGGAUCGCAGUCUGCACUCGACUGCAGGAGUCGAGUCGCUAGUA
rnacentral:rRNA from 1 species